AAUACAUAUAUAAUCUAAGAACAACAUCAUUUAUGAAAAGGGAAAGAAUGUUCUCUACCAAUCAGAAACGAUCACGAAGAAUCACGAAUCACUGUGAAAAAUCAUUGUGAUUGAGAAUGAACGUGAUUGAAUCACGAGUGAUUCAAAAGUAACAGUUCACCACAUCCCUAGUAAGAACCCUUUGUACGGAGGCCUUCUUCGGUUUGAAAUUCUGAUCGCGCAACCAUUGCUGCCUUCUUGGAAUAUCUAUCGACACAGAGUUAAUCAGUUCUGACAAGUUAUCCCUCGAUUAACCCUUGAACCUAUCACAACGUGUGAGGCUCGUGGUACAGAAUUUGAGUCGAACAUGAAAAACACGAGUCAGACGCGUCGUAUGAAAGAACGCAAGGAAUUUUAUACCUGAUUAUAGCAUUCACCAUCCUACAGCAAAUCGUAGGUCAAAGGGUUAAUAAAUACCGAAGAUUAAUUUGCUCGAAUCAAUUCGAAACAGUCGCUUCGUCUAGAUUCUAGCGUAAAGUGAAAGUGGUACAAGGGGGACGAAUACUCGUGGCUUGUUCUUAACCUCCCGAGAAACGAAUUUUAAAUGAGUUUCUCUUCUUACUCCAAAUCGAAUACGCACAAAACAAAGCAAUUUCGACCUGUAAAUUGAUUUCAACAUAGGAAUACACUGUCUCGCUUUAAUAUGGUACAUUUUUUUUAUUUUAAAAGGUCCUCGCGAGUAACGACAAUUUUGAUAUGAAAGCAACCGUAUGCGUAUGCAUGUACCACUAUCCUUCGAGAGGUUAAAUAAAGUGUCAGAGAACGGGAACAGUGUUUCACCCUAUCUGCUUCAUAACACCGCGCACGACAGAGCCGCGGGUUUACGGUACGCACUAAAAAUAGCGGUACCCAUAAAACUGCUCGGUGAAAAUCGCCACGAGACCUCGGGGACGUGGCGUACACGAAUCUACAACCGUCGUGGAUAAACGAAACACGGUGACUCGCGUGAGAAUUAAUCGGAAUUUCGCGUUUAAACGGAGACUGGACUCGGCGAGAAAGCGAUCCGGAGCGAAAAAGCGUGUCGUCUCGAUGGUAACAGUUCCCUUCACCGAACACCGACACAGUCUGUCGCGAGGACAGUGAACAAGACGGACGUAAAUCGUGUCACGGGGAAUACUCACGAUAUCCGUGGUCCGAGUGACAGAAGGCUCGUCGUUACCCGUGUCGAGAUGGUUCAUCUUGGAACGGUUGUUUACGCUGCGGCAACACUUGUACGGACGUGAAAUCACCACUUUACCACCGUGUCAUACUCGUGCAUUACUCUUGUACACGGAUUUCUCGGUGUACCCGUUGAUUUUCACGCAUAAAAUCGUGCGAUCACGCGUGCCUGCGCUCGCGGUCGAUCCUUGGAAUCCAUGACAGGUACGAGCACGGGUAUGACCGUGGGCCGCAUGCGCCGGAGCAGAAGUUAUCACGCUCUGCCACCGAGGAGACAGACGGCUGAUACGUGUAGACAAGGCCGUGUUCAACGCGUACCGUGCCCUGGGGCCGUUUCUAACUAAACUUUUCGGAAGACGUUCCCUAAAAUGAAGAAGGAAUUCCUGUACGCGAAGUACAUAGACGAGACAUUUUUGCUACAUUUAUGGUAGUAAACUAGUUCUAUUCCAUUUUCAGCGCGUUAAAUGUAAACGUUUAUGUUAAGAAAGGCUUAAAUACUUCGAAAAACUCUAGUACCGAUAAGUAAAUAAAAUUCAAGCAACGUAUUGAUGUAUGUAAUGUAUUAAAAUUAUGAAAUGUAUUAUCUUGAAUGUAAUUAUAUAAUAUACGCAUGCAUUAUAUACACACAUGUGUUACUUGAACUUUCGCGAAUUUUGCGACAAGUGGAAUAUUCUCAAUGGUACAUGAAAAAUAUAUUUUUACGUAUAGAAAGAUAUGCUCGAAUUAUCCACAUUUUUCUAAACAUUAAACAGUUUCUUUUACAUGCUCAUCUGAUUUUUAAUGCGCCUCACCCCACCACCAAGGAUCGCGCCCUUAGAUUGGAAAACACUGGUUUAAGUGGUUUGGUUAAUGGCGUCCCUUCCUCUUCUUCUCCGCAAACGUGUAUUACAUCUAUUUCGCAUCAGUAUUACAUUUAUUUACUUCAUUAUACGUAACACAACUCUAAUGUAAAUAACAAUUAUAAUUUUCAUGAAAACUAUCACCUUGAGUGAGGAAAAUCUAAACUCUUGAACACAGUGUACAAUUGAAUCGCGGAUCAUAAAAGCGCGCUUUUCGGCGUUUAAAUGAAACCAAUUUUUUUAUAUAAUAAUUAUGACUUAGCUAAUAAUAUGAGGAAGUUGUGGGAAAUGUUCAAGUCCAAGUAUUCGCCAUGUACAGUUUUAUAUGGUUCCCUGCGUUUUGUUUUUAUUGAGAAUGAUCAAUGUGCGAAGUACAAGUUGGCCAGCCAUGUUUUGUAUUUACAGCUGCGGCCCGCUCUAACUGAAGAAACGUAAACAGCGAUGAAGAUGACUCCUAAUCGUAAAUCCAAACAAUAAAUGUUAUCGAUAUCCGAGACGUAACUGUGAUAAGGUUAAAUCGCUUGAGAAAGCACGAAAACUAUACUUACUAUUCUUUAAAUCAAAAAUAAAGUCUCAAGAGUACGAAGGUAUGAUAUUAUAACCUAAUUCAGAAUCUCGCGUUCCCCAAAACUAUAGCUUAAUUAAUUCCUUAUCUAUUCAUAAAUUUUAGUCGAAAAUGUUUUACUUGCUGCUAAAAAGUAUGAUACCACAUCGUCUUAAUAUUUACGAUAAACGUUUCGACAUCGGAUUUAAGCUUUUUUUUUAUCAAUUCCCAUGUGACACCAACCAAUACUGAGACUUUUUUUUUCUUCUCGAUCGAACUGGUCGUGUGAAAGUGAUCUCACGACCUCUCUACUUGGAGACAUUACUAAGAUUACAAUUCUAAAUUAACGAAUAUAAGAUUUUACUUUUAUUUGUAACAUGACCCCUGCUCAGCCAUCAUCUCAUCGCACGUGGACAUUGAAAAAAUGAUCAACAAUUUAAAUCACAUAUAUACUUUAUUAUGCAUACGAAUAGAGAGACAUAAUUUUUUUCCUUACAGUGAAUCAAGACAUUAUCUAUUCAUUUUCAUAGCUGUCAACAAAUGUUUUCAAUAAUCUAUACUUCAUUGCGCGCAUGUUGCAUCUAUCCUCGAUGUUCAGCGAUACCUAUGUUUUUCUCGUCAUAUUGAUACCGAAGAGGUGGUUUUUUUUUUUCAUCUUAUAAAAAGAAUGAA